UACGUAGGUGGCAAGCGUUGUCCGGAUUUAUUGGGUUUAAAGGGUGCGUAGGCGGCCCUGUAAGUCAGUGCUGAAAUAUCCCGGCUUAACCGGGAGGGUGGCAUUGAUACUGCGGGGCUAGAGUACAGAUGAGGUAGGCGGAAUUGACGGUGUAGCGGUGAAAUGCGCAGAUAUCGGGAGGAACACCAAUGGCGAAGGCAGCUCGCUGGGACGGUACUGACGCUGAGACGCGAAAGCGUGGGGAGCAAACAGG
rnacentral:rRNA from 1 species